rnacentral:lncRNA from 1 species
GGAAGAGAGGGAAGGAGGGUGGAAAGAGGCUAAAAACCGUUAAGUGUUAUAAAGGGAGCAUGGGCCCAGAAGCCCAGCAAUAGUCCCUCCUGGAAUCCAUUGGCUUGCCUCAAGAGUGUCUGAGCCUUCUCUUUUAGGGUUACCAGAUAAAUGCAGGAUGCACAGUUAAUAUGCAUUGGAGAAAAUAUUAAUUUAUUAUUAGAUAAUACAUAAUUUCUUUAGCAUAAGCAUGUCCUGUGCCAUGUUUAGUUAAGGGCAUACUUAUGCUAAAAAAUUAUUUCUUCUUAUCUGAAAUUCAGAAUUAACUAGGCAUUUUAUAUUUUUAUUUGCUAAAUCUGGCUACCCUAUUCUCUUCGUAAUAUUCUUCAACUCUCCCAGCUUUGCCCUCCUUCCCUGUCCGCUCUUCUAGGGGAGUCGGAUCGAGUUGUAAGGAGAACAUGCCCACUGUCUUGAUGGCUGCAGUGUGUGGUCCCCACAGGUGGUGAGGAAGAGAUGGGUUUCCACCCAUGCUGUACACGGAAUGUUUGUGUCCUCCCCAAAUUCCUAUGUUGAAGCCCUAACCACCAAUGUAAUGGUAUUUGGAGAUGGGCCUUUGUGAGGACACAAAGAGAAUGUGGCUGCGUGCAAACCAGGAGGAGAGCCCUCACCAGGAACCAAUCUAACUGACACCUUGAACUUGGACUUCCAAACCUCCAGUACUGUG